CGGUAGUCCUAGAAUCGACUAAACUUGGCUCUGAUACCAAUAAAAUGUAACACCCAAAUAUCCGUGUCGAUUACUAGAGUAGGUUCAUAAAACAUAACAUGCUCAACUUUUCAAUAGAACACUUGAGAUACAAAAGAAAAUUGAAAAGUGAAAUCUUAAAAUUUACGAAUAACAUUACCCGAUUAAAACCCUUCUAUUUAUUUUAUGAUUUAUCCCCUAUUGACCGAGUGCACAUACAUAAUAUAUAUAAUUCAAUCAUAUCACAAAUAUGAAGUUCUAAAUCAAGAUUUAUAACCAAAACAUUUUCAAAUUCAUACAUAAAACUUUAGCCAUAUUCGUAUGGCUUUAUAUACAAUUAUAUCAAAAUAGCUAACCUCCCAAAAUUACUAUCCUAUACAUGCCAUAAUGUCUACUAAAGUUUCAAACAAAAGUACCAAAAAGGUUGACAAAAGUUGCGAUGACUUCGUGAUGGUUCCCAAGCUUUCCUCGAAUAAAAUGAUCUAUACCAAAGCGAAAAACACACCGAGUGAGUUAUUAACUCAGUAAGUCCUAAGAAAAUUUCAAUACUAUAAUGAUUCAAUUAUCUACAAACUAAGUAAUUAACUCAAUACUAUUCGAACUUAGCCAUGAGAUCACAAGGAAAUAUAUUAUGUCACAAACGUACCUUAUGCAUUUGGUACAUACUUACCCGAAUACACCAUAUACUCCUACUCUAAAUAUUCACAAUUAAAAUACCAUGGCAAUGUCAUAUACAACCAUUGACGUGUAUAUAUAUAUAAUAUUCAAAGCCUAAAAUUUAAAGCAUAAACCAAGCCACUCCAUCUAUCAAUCAAAUCUCCAAUUUAAUGUUUAGUUGCAUUCUUAAUUGCCACAAAUAAUAUUCCAUAAUCAACAUUUCACACUUAGUGCUCGAUUUGAAAGUCCGCACACACAAUGCUUUUACUUAUUCGCACACAUAGUGCAAUGUUUUCUCACACACAUAGUGCCACAUAGCUUCGCACACAUAGUGCUGUAUUUUCUUAUCUUUAAUCGUCAUAUUAUCAUAGAUUGAUCAAUAAUUUCACAUUCGAUUCCCAAGAACAUAUAUAUACUAUGAUAUCUUAUCUAACUUAAUUUGUCUCAUCUAUGCUCAAAGUUAACUAUAACUUGAUUACCUAAGGACUUACCUUUUUAAUCGGAUGACAACUCCGAUCGGCUACUCCAUCACUCUUGCUUUCCCUUUUUCCGAACUUGGCUCCCUUUGAUCUUGAGCUCCAACUCCAGCUAAGCAAAUAAAAUAACUAAAUCAUCGUAACCCCAAUUUAUACUUCUUCCUCAUAGACACACACACACAAAGAUUCGGUAUUUGCUCAUACAUAAUUUAAAAUUUAAAUCUUUAAACUUAAUGUAUAUCCAACAUACUUAUCAUAUAUUCCUAUAAUUCAAUACAUUAUAAGAUCAAUUUCGACAAUUCACAUUUCCAAAUUUUAUUAGCUAAGUUCAUUUUCGGUUAGUGCUCUUUUAAAAUCUAUCAAGCUCGUAUUCCUCUAAUUUCAUGAGUUCAACGUCUUAGUGCCCAUAGUAACUACUCAAAUAAAUUUCGAAUACAUAAAUUAAGUCACCCCAAACUAUCUUGAUUUAAAAUCGACAAACAUACAUAUGUCAAACUAUUUUAACCAAAUUUUACUUAUCACUUAUACUAAAAUAUGCACUUAAACUUACUAUGUUUACAUCAUGCCUUACACUCCCAAAACAUAAGACAUCAAUCUAUUUCCUUCUUCCAUGUCUCAGUCAACUACUCAUUUUACCUCAUAAUCUUGAAUUUUGCAUUUUAAUGUAUCUAUCACGACUUAUUCGGCUUACAUUGAACCAUUACUCAUACAAGAAAAUAGCAAACAAAAUGAAUAUUCCAUUCAAAUCCUCAUAUGGCCGAAUACACAAUGUACUACCCAACUAAUAAUUCAACAAGUUCAAUCUCAUUCUCUCAUCUACAUAUUCAAAACAACAUGAAAACAACCUCCAAUUCUACUACAUUGAUAUACGGCUUAGUGCCCAAACUACCAUAGAACUUUGAUUUCUUUUUUUCUUUUUUUUUUGACAUGGCCAAGAGAUGCAUUUACAAUUAACUUAAACAUUUAAAGGAAAAAUUCCAAAAAUAACUUCAAAUCUUACCUCCAACUAGCCAAGAAGGUGCCGGAUUGCCCUAAUGAAAUUUCUCUUUUUUUUUUCUUUCCCUUUUGUUUCGGUUUGUAACCAAGAAGAAGAUGAACACUUUUCUUUUCUUUUAUUCAUCUUUUUAUUUUUUUAUUCAUUAUGAUUUGAAUAUUUUAUUCCUUUGCCAAUUUAAUAUACAAAUUAAUUUAAAUUAGUGGAAGGGCAUCAUUACUUGGCUGGCCACUUAGUGCAAAAAUGGGCAUUUUGACAUGCAAAUCCAUGCUUUCUCACCUUAUUGUUAUUUAAUCCUUACAAUUUACCUAUCAUCUUUUCUAAAUUUCUCAACUAAGUCCUUUCAAGAAAAUUCACAUUCCUAAGGCUAAUUUUAAGCAUUUAAUUUUUUUUUUCACAGAUACACUAUCACACAUAAAUAUAUGCAAUUAAAACAAAAUUAAAUUUUUGUGACUCGGUUUUGUGGUCCCGAAACCACAUUCCGACUAGGGUCUAAUUAGGGCCGUCACAAGCGGGCUAAAGGAAAAAGGGUAAUGAGCUUCAAGAUAUACAGCUUCUAUUAGGCCAACGAUUAGAAACGGAGGUAUCUAUUUAUUUAAAUUUGAACUAUAUAAUAUUAAUGUAGUUGGUUUCGUAUUCAGUAGUAUAUAUAAAGCUAAUGUUUUUAUCACAUUAAUAUAGUUUGAAUGGACACCAUACGAGGAUCCGACAAUUCAAUAAGUCAUCCCCGAGGAAUUAUUUGUGAAUCCCAACAUCUAGCACGUGAAUGUCCCAUUAGUAGUGUAUGCUACCAUUGAGAUGCACAAAACUCAUAGAGUGUUGCGGUAGUUAGGAUUCCAACAAUUGAUUCUCGUGGCACCUUAAGACCUUGAUGAUCUGCAUCCUAUCGACUUGCGGUGGCCAAAUGAGAAUUGUUCGGUAUCCACUCCCAACAUAUCAACAUGUGGAAUAAUCAAUAUGAUUUCUUAUCUACUCGUGAACCUAUUAUCGUUUUGGAGUUAACAUGCGAUCCAGAGUACAUGCCAUGAGUUAGGAUCCAUGGCAAGCCAUAUUUGUACGAAAAAGAGGCGAGGCGUCGACAUCCCUAUACGAAUAGGUCACGACUGUAAUGACCCGAAUUUUACCGAUACUGAAAAAGUGUAAUUUCGGAUAUCUGUUUAUGAAAAAUAGAUUCCGACAAUUGAUUCAAUAAGCCAUAUUCGUAAAUAUUAUAUUAUAUAUAUAAUAAAUGGAAUAAAAAAAAGAUAGAAGAGAAACAGAAUGAAACGAAACAGAGAGCAGGGGAGAAAAAGAAGAAAUGGGGAAAAGGGAAAAUUGAAGGUUUGAAGCUUUAAGCUUUAAUAGGUAAGUCAAUCAAACCCUUUUUACUUAAUUUUGAUGUUUUAGAAGUUUCAGAACAAAGUUUUAAUGAAAUUAAGUUGAUAUUUUAAAAGUUGUUAGAUUUCUAGAUAUUAUCCAUGUUAAAUAAAAUGAUGAAUUAAGGGCUAAAUUGAUAGAAAUUCAAGUUAGAAAUGAUAUAAGGAUUGAAUUGUAAAGUGAUUCAUAAGUUUUAUGCUUUAAGGACUAAAUUGAAAGAAUUUCGAAAUUAUGGUUUUAUGAUGAAAAAUAGAUAAUUAUGUCUAAGUUUGGUUAAAAAUUGAGUAGAAGUAAAGUAUAAAUUAAGAUAGAAAAGCAAGUGAAUUUAGUUACGAUUAAAUUGAAAUUAAAAGUAGAAAAUCAACAUUUUGCACUAAGACUAUUUUGGACAGCAGCAGUAGUCUAAGUUUGAAAAAUCACCAAAAAUUGUAGAAAUUUAAUUAUAGGAUGAAUAAAAUAUGGAAUUAAAGCUUAUUGAGUCUAGUUUCUUAUAGAGGAAACGGUAUAAGAAAUUUAAUUGUAAAUUAUAAGAUAUAAUUAAUUUUGUGAGACAAGGUUAGAAUGAAUUCGGGUUCCCCUGUUCUGACUUUGGAAAAUCACAAAAAAUUGGAGAAAAAUAAUUAGAGGCUUAAAGUUAUAUGUUUAGAAUCCAUAAUGAGUAUAUUUUCAGGAUAAAUCAACGGAAAUAUUAUCUAAUUUUUGUACUGUGAGAUAAUAAAUUUUUAGUGAAGAAGGGUCGAAAUUGUCAGACAGCAGAACAGGGGUAACUUUAAAGGAAUAAACUGUACUUAUUGGCUAAACCAAAAAUUCUGAAAAUUUUAUGGCAAGAAGAUAUAUGAGACUAGUUUCAGAAAAAAUUAGCGGAUCUUAAUUUGGAGUUUUAUAGCUCCAGAUAUAAAUAAUUUAGUGACUAUGACACAGAUGGACAGCUUGAAUAUCCAUAAAAGUAAAUAAUAAAAAUUAUAGAUAAUGUUACUUACAAGUGUGUUAUAUACAUUAAGGAUGUGGAAUGGAGAGGAGGAGGAGGAAAAUAUAUAUGAAUAUUCAGUUAGCAUGGCUAAUUUGCAUGUUUUAAGCUCAUGGACUAAAUUGAAUAAAAGUGGGGCAAUUUUGUAAAAAUAUCAAAAAUGACUAAAUUGAAGGGAAUGAAUUGUUUUAUUAUCUAAAUUAAUGAAUUGAAUGAAAUUAUCAAUUUAAGAUUGGGUGAAAUUUGGAAAAAUGGUAAAUUACCAAUAUGCCCCUAAAUCUUGGUAUUUCUGCAAUUUAGUCAGGUAGGUUUAUAUAUCCUGAAUGAGCAUGUAAAUAUGACAGUUUAAGUAUUUUAUCGUAUUUUAUAUGAUAUUUUGAAUUGAAUAUAUGAAAAGGAUGUUACAUGAAAUAUGAAAAUGAAUACUAAAUAAUAUAAAUUAAUUGAAAUUAUUCUGAAAAUCUCGAUAAUGCCUCGUAUCCUAUCCCGGUCUCAGGUACGGGUAAUUAAAUAUUCAUAUAUAUUUUCCUCCUCCUCCUCUUCAUUCCACAUCCUUAAUGUAUAUAACACACUUGUAAAUAACAUUAUCUAUAAUUUUUAUUAUUUACUUUUAUGGAUAUUCAAGCUGUCCAUCUGUGUCAUAGUCACUAAAUUAUUUAUAUCUGGAGCUAUAAAACUUCAAAUUAAGAUCCGCUAAUUUUUUCUGAAACUAGUCUCAUAUAUCUUCUUGCCAUAAAAUUUUCAUAAUUUUUGGCUUAGCCAAUAAGUACAGUUUAUUCCUUUAAAGUUACCCCUGUUCUGCUGUCCGACAGUUUCGACCCUUCUUCACUAAAAAUUUAUUAUCUCACAGUACAAAACUUGGAUAAUAUUAAUGUUGAUUUCUCAUGAAAAUAGACUCAUUAGGAAUUCUAAAAAUAUAACUUUAAGCCUCUAAUUAUUUUUUUCCAAUUUUUGGUGAUUUUCCAAAGUCAGAACAGGGGAACCCGAAUUCAUUCUAACCUUGUCUCACAAAAUUCAUUAUAUCUCAUAAUUUACAAUUCAAUUGCUGAUACCGUUUCUUCUAUAAGAAACUAGACUCAAUAAGCUUUAAUUCUGUAUUUUAUUUAUUCUCCAAUUAAAUUUAUACAAUUUUUGGUGAUUUUUCAAACUUAGACUACUGCUGCUGUCCAAAAUAGUCUUAGUGCAAAAUGUUGAUUUUCUACUUUUAAUUUCAAUUUAAUCCUAACUAAAUUCACUUGCUUUUCUAUCUUAAUUUAUACUUUACUUCUACUCAUUUUUUAACCAAACUUAAACAUAAUUAUCUAUUUUUCAUCAUAAGACCAUAAUUUCAAAAUUCUUUCAAUUUAGUCCUUAAAGCAUAAAACUUAUGAAUCACUUUACAAUUCAAUCCUUAUAUCAUUUCUAACUUGAAUUUCUAUCAAUUUAGCCCUUAAUUCAUCAUUUUAUUUAACAUGGAUAAUAUCUAGAAAUCUAACAACUUUCAAAAUAUCAACUUAAUUUCAUCAAAACUUUGUUCUGAAACUUCUAAAACAUCAAAAUUAAGUAAAAAGGGUUUGAUUGACUUACCUAUGAAAGCUUAAAGCUUCAAACCUUCAAUUUUCUCUUUUCCCCCUUUAUUUCUUUUUCUCCCCUACUCUCUGUUUCGUUUCAUUUUGUUUAUUUUCUAUCUUCCU
rnacentral:lncRNA from 1 species